UACAGAGGGGGCAAGCGUUGUUCGGAAUUACUGGGCGUAAAGGGCGCGUAGGCGGCCUUCUAAGUCGAACGUGAAAUCCCCGGGCUCAACCCGGGAACUGCGUCCGAGACUGGAAGGCUCGAAUCCGGGAGAGGGAUGUGGAAUUCCAGGUGUAGCGGUGAAAUGCGUAGAUAUCUGGAGGAACAUCGGUGGCGAAGGCGGCAUCCUGGACCGGUAUUGACGCUGAGGCGCGAAAGCCAAGGGAGCAAACGGG
rnacentral:rRNA from 1 species